UACAGAGGUGCCAAGCGUUAGGCGGAAUCACUGGGCUUAAAGCGCGUGUAGGUGGACGGGUAAGUAUCUUGUGAAAUCCCACGGCUCAACCGUGGAACUGCUGGAUAUACUGCUUGUCUUGAGGCACUUAGGGGCAGCUGGAACAAAUGGUGGAGCGGUGAAAUGCGUUAGAUAUCAUUUGGAACGCCAAAGGCGAAAGCAGGCUGCUGGGAGUGAUCUGACACUGAGACGCGAAAGCCAGGGGAGCAAACGGG
rnacentral:rRNA from 1 species